rnacentral:rRNA from 1 species
AUUGAACGCUGGCGGCAGGCCUAACACAUGCAAGUCGAGCGGUAGCACAGAGAGCUUGCUCUCGGGUGACGAGCGGCGGACGGGUGAGUAAUGUUUGGGAAACUGCCUGAUGGAGGGGGAUAACUACUGGAAACGGUAGCUAAUACCGCAUAACGUCGCAAGACCAAAGAGGGGGACCUUCGGGCCUCUUGCCAUCAGAUGUGCCCAGAUGGGAUUAGCUAGUAGGUGGGGUAACGGCUCACCUAGGCGACGAUCCAUAGCUGGUCUGAGAGGCAGACUAGCCACACUGGUAUUGAGAUACGGACCAGACUCCUACGGGGGGCAGCAGUGGGGAAUAUUGAACAAUGGGCGCAAGCCUGAUGCAGACAUGCCGCGUGUAUGACGGAGGCCUUCGGGUUGUAAAGUACUUUCCGCGGGGAGGAAGGUGUUGAGGUUAAUAACCUCAGCAAUUGACGUUACCCGCAGAAGCAGCACCGGCUAACUCCGUGCCAGCAGCCGCAGUAA